UUUAGUGUUUGGGUUGCAGAAACCAUGUGGAGUGCUGCUGUUUAUAAAGUACGUAAAAGCCUUUUUGUUUAUUUUGUUUUGUUUUGCCAUGAGAUGUUUUUUUGGAAAGAAUCUAGAAUGAUGAAGCAGCUGGUGGCUGAGUCUCCUGCUCAGUGUGCAGAGAAUGAAGAUUGGCUGGGAUAGCUGGAGUUAUUCACUGCAUGCUGUGGGCCACGUAAACACACAAACAGGCAAUUCUUGUUCACCAGGAGGUGUGUGGUAACUCAGAAAGCACCAUUAACUGUUCUGUACGUGUACUCACCAUGACACCACAUAUGGGAGGCAGCAGAUACAGAUCUCCCCAGCUCCUGUCCAUUACUCUGUGGGUGUUGGUGUGGCACAGCCCAUGUGGGUGAAAUGAUGAUGGCUGUAGGAAUGUCUCCUGUGCAGAGGGGAGGUCUGCUGUGAAUUUGCCCAAUCCCAACAUUGCAAUGCAUUUCAGGGAAGUGGUGUUUUCAUGGCAAGGAAAGCUGCUUCUCCUGCCUUGUGCUGCCUUGGAAUAAGCAUGUCCCCAUGGGAGGCUGUUCAAGAGCUGCCUACGGCAGGGAUGCUCAAGACAAACAAACUCAGCCACAAGGGGUAGAAACUUUUUGCAUACUUUCUGAAGAGGAUCAUGCAGUACAAUUACAACAGCAAGGGACUGGAUGUAAUAACCCUGAAGAUUUCCUUCUGCUUUAUGUUUCCAAAAGUGGAGAAGAUCCUUGCAGAAGCUUCACCAGCUGGGUCUUUAGGAGAAGUACCAAAAAUUAUGAUGGUAUCAGAAGUACUGCUCACCUUCUGAGAGAUUCCCAGGAUGUAAGCAAUCAAGUGUUGCUUUACCAGCUAUGGAAAGACAGAAUCUUGCUGAAGAGCUGAGGCAUUCCUUGGAAAGUGAGUUUGCAUCUUUUGCAAGGGAAAAAAGGACAGCUUGGCUGUGAGAUUGUUUUUGUAUGUAUGGACAGCACCCCAUCUUGUCAUCAGAAUAGGAAACUAUCCAAUAUUUGGGUCUUCACUCAUGUGAUAAAAUCACUUUAAAGGAAGUUUUAUAUCACAAGAGAUACCUGAACAUUUGUUUCAAAGCAGCUUAGAAGCAGCUUAGCCAGGAGCUUCUUUUUAUAUAUAUAUAUAUAAAAAAACCAAAAAAACAACAAACCUGAAAGUAUAUAUUUGAAGAGCAGCUGCCCUACAGCCUUUUCCUAUGCAUUGCAAAGGGUACAGCCUGGGAUUUCCCAGCAGCUAUGGCUAGUCUGCAGCUCUCCAGGUGGGCCAGACAGUGCUGUGCUAAAGAACCUCAGGAAGUCCUGGUUCAAGCCUUUGUCUGUGUACCGGCCACAGUGUGGGCUCCUGAGUUACUCUGCUGUGAGGCUGGAUAAUGGCUCAAAUUUGGAUGCUGUUGCUCUGGGCUUCAUUGCUUUCUGUAAGUAAAUUUUAUUAGCAGAGGGCCUGAAUAAGGGUGUUUUCUGAGGAUUUUAUAAUCAGGUCAACUCCUGUCCUGUUUUUUCCCUGUUCUGUGGUGAUGGCAAUCUGUGGUUACUUGGACAUCAGCAGAGUUUUGUUUCAGUUUUCAUUUCAGUGGCUUAAGCCUGUUUUCUGUUAAAACAACCAAAAUCUAUUUGGGAUAGAGUGGAAUUAAAUCCCAAAUUAAAAUCAGCUUAAAAAAGAAAGGGUUGGUUUUGUUAAAGGAGAAAAACUGAGUUCAUCCAUGUUUGGUAAAGGUAUGGUGAAAAUUCCCUAAUAACCACCUAUCAAGCAUUCAGAAACUGGUAAGCAGAAAAAUUGAAUCCUUCUUUCAGCCUUUUGGGAAGGCUGCUGGCAAUGAGUGCAGUUACUGGAGAAAAAAGGUAUUGAUCUCCCUCAGUAAGGUCCAUGGUUCUUA
ensembl:lncRNA